CCUGAAAGUCUUUCAAAACUACAAGCGUCCAGACCGCUGUAUCCUCAUGGCUAGUUACAGCCAUGGCCACUGUGCCACCCACCAAGGAUGUGAAGAUUGAACUGACCCUAACGUCAAUUCAGAGGCAUGUGUUUCUGCACACUGCCAAUAGGAGAUCUUAGCUGGAGACAAAAUGGCAAUGCUUUUUCUGUGUGUAUCCUUUUUAAGUUACUGAAGGAGAUUCAGGAUUUGAUGCAGAUUAUCAUUACAGAUAAGUGGAGUCAGUGGUCUUCUGUCUCAGUUUGCUCAGUGUGAACUAGGUAAUAAAUACUUUCAAUUUUGCUAUUGACACAACAAUCUCAGCUUCUGUAUUUCAAAUGUCACUCCAAAAUAGAUUUUAACACACUGACAUAUUCUACGGCUAUUUGCCUGCUAUAGGGUAACAGCCAUAGAUUUAUAAUGGCAGUAGACCUCCAUCUAGGUUGAUUGAAUAUUGUGUGAUUUUUGUAAGUGCCACAAUCUCUGGCAUUUGCUUUAGAUUCUUGUACUUUAUGUUCUUUGGAUUCUCAGUCUUUGUGUGUCUCAGGCAGAAAAAUAUUGAUGUCCUGCAUAAUUUGCUAAUGGGGUUCAUUAUCAAUUCAAAAUCAUAAAUGUAGACACCUGGAAACAAAUUGAAAACCACAGGGGAAAAAAUUCCCAGAGCUAGAAAUGGCAGUUUUGUCAGCCUGGUGUGUGAAUUCUGGCUCUGACGGUUCAUCAACCUCAUCUACUCAAGAUCACUCAAGUUCAUAAUUGAUCUCAUCUAGAGAUGUGUGCUCAUUUUUUUGUACCUCUGUUAUAUUUCCAGUUGGUUCAGAACAGUUGCUUCUACUUUUCAAUAUACUUAUAAACAAACUAGUAAACAAAUGAUCCCACCACAACCCUGAGUUACUAAGGAGGUCUUGAAUGCAUCAUACAGUGUGAAACUUUAAAGUUUUAAUGAACAUGUUUUUUCCCCCCUGCAAGCUUCACAUCUGUGAUCACUUUGUUUUGGGGUGUUUCUCCUUUCAGUCUCCUCUUCAGAAGGUGAAAUUCUGUUUAAUUAGAUCUGGUAAUUAACUUGGUCAGUCUAAAACCUUCCAAUUGUUCCCCCGAUGAAGUCCUUUAUUGUGUUUUCAGUAUGAUUUGGAUUAUUGUCUUACUGCAUGAUGAAGGUUCUCCUGAUUAGAUUGGUUACAUUUCUGGGCAAAUUCUUGGACCAAAUGUUUCUGUAGACUUCUGAAUUCAUUCUGCUGUUAUCAUCAUGUGUUACAUCACCAAUAAAGGUUAAUGAGCUUGUUCCAGAAGCAGUCAUACCAAAGUCAUGAUACUUCCUGCACUUUGCUUCACCGAUGAGAUGGUAUGUUUUGGAUCAUGAGCAGAUCCUUUCUUUCUCCACUCUUUUGCCUUUCCAUAAUUGUGCUAGAGGUUAAUCUUGGCUUAUCUGUGUAUUUCUUUGCUAAUUCCAAUCUCUGAUUUUUAUCGAAUUUGUGGUAUGGCCUAUUUUCCAGAUGUUAAAGUCUCCUUCAACUGGUGGAUUUUUUUUUCCACAGCUCUCAAUGUUUCUUCAUCAACUGCUGUUCUGCUGUACUUUCUUUUUCAGGACAUUUUAAAUGACUGUAUUGGCUAAUCCCAAUGCUUGUUCAAAAGCUCUGAUCGAUUUCCUCUCUUUUCUCAGGCAAUUCUCUGGUCACCAUUUUGGUUUAUCUUUUUUUUAACAACAAAUGCAAUAUUCACAGGUGAAACCCAGGACUCAAACCAGCAGUAAACAUUCAGGGCUAUUAAUUGUUUAAAGAAUCAAACUAACAAAGCACAGCUGGGCAACAAGAAACACCUACAGUCCCAGUCAUGUCAUAGCAUUUUUGAUAACUUGUGUUAUACAAAAGAUGCCAUGUUCUAAGUUGUUUAACACAUCAUCUGGUCUAUUCACAUAUUCAUCUUUUGAUCUCAAAUGCACAUGUCUUUAGUGUAUAGCAAAAAUAAAAGAACAGGCCUUGCUGUCAUA